rnacentral:rRNA from 1 species
GAUGAACGCUGGCGGCGUGCCUAACACAUGCAAGUCGAACGAUUAACCCACCUUCGGGUGGUUAUAGAGUGGCGAACGGGUGAGUAACACGUGACUAACCAACCCUGCACUUUGGGACAACCUGUCGAAAGACAGGCUAAUACCGAAUAUUCUCUUUACCUCGCAUGAGAUUUAAAGGAAAGCUCAGGCGGUGCAGGACGGAGUCGCGGUCCAUUAGGUAGUUGGUGAGGUAACGGCCCACCAAGCCGAUGAUGGAUAGCCGGACUGAGAGGUUGAUCGGCCACAUUGGGACUGAGAUACGGCCCAGACUCCUACGGGAGGCAGCAGUGGGGAAUAUUGCGCAAUGGGGGAAACCCUGACGCAGCAACGCCGUGUGCAGGACGAAGGCUUUCGGGUUGUAAACUGCUUUCAGUAGGGAAGAU